GUGCCAGCAGCCGCGGUAAUACGUAGGGUGCAAGCGUUGUCCGGAUUUAUUGGGCGUAAAGAGCUCGUAGGCGGUUAGUCACGUCGGAUGUGAAAUCCCAGAGCUUAACUCUGGGCCUGCAUUCGAUACGGGCUGACUAGAGUGUUGUAGGGGAGACUGGAACUCCUGGUGUAGCGGUGAAAUGCGCAGAUAUCAGGAAGAACACCGGUGGCGAAGGCGGGUCUCUGGGCAACUACUGACGCUGAGGAGCGAAAGCGUGGGGAGCAAACAGGAUUAGAUACCCUGGUAGUCCACGCCGUAAACGGUGGGCGCUAGGUGUGGGGAACAUUCCACGUUCUCCGUGCCGCAGCUAACGCAUUAAGCGCCCCGCCUGGGGAGUACGGCCGCAAGGCUAAAACUCAAAGGAAUUGACGG
rnacentral:rRNA from 1 species